rnacentral:rRNA from 1 species
AACGCUGGCGGCGUGCUUAACACAUGCAAGUCGAACGAUGAAGCCUGGCUUGCUGGGUGGAUUAGUGGCGAACGGGUGAGUAACACGUGAGUAACCUGCCCUUGACUCUGGGAUAAGCGCUGGAAACGGCGUCUAAUACCGGAUACGACCUGCCCCGGCAUCGGGUGUGGGUGGAAAGUUUUUCGGUCAAGGAUGGACUCGCGGCCUAUCAGCUUGUUGGUGAGGUAAUGGCUUACCAAGGCGACGACGGGUAGCCGGCCUGAGAGGGUGACCGGCCACACUGGGACUGAGACACGGCCCAGACUCCUACGGGAGGCAGCAGUGGGGAAUAUUGCACAAUGGGCGAAAGCCUGAUGCAGCAACGCCGCGUGGGGGAUGACGGCCUUCGGGUUGUAAACCUCUUUUAGUAGGGAAGAAGGGCUUCGGCUUGACGGUACCUGCAGAAAAAGCACCGGCUAACUACGUGCCAGCAGCCGCGGUAAUACGUAGGGUGCAAGCGUUGUCCGGAAUUAUUGGGCGUAAAGAGCUCGUAGGCGGUUUGUCGCGUCUGCUGUGAAAACCCGAGGCUCAACCUCGGGCCUGCAGUGGGUACGGGCAGACUAGAGUGCGGUAGGGGAGAAUGGAAUUCCUGGUGUAGCGGUGGAAUGCGCAGAUAUCAGGAGGAACACCGAUGGCGAAGGCAGUUCUCUGGGCCGUUACUGACGCUGAGGAGCGAAAGCGUGGGGAGCGAACAGGAUUAGAUACCCUGGUAGUCCACGCCGUAAACGUUGGGAACUAGAUGUGGGGGCCUUUCCACGGUCUCCGUGUCGCAGCUAACGCAUUAAGUUCCCCGCCUGGGGAGUACGGCCGCAAGGCUAAAACUCAAAGGAAUUGACGGGGGCCCGCACAAGCGGCGGAGCAUGCGGAUUAAUUCGAUGCAACGCGAAGAACCUUACCAAGGCUUGACAUAUACCGGAAACUUCCAGAGAUGGUUGCCCCGCAAGGUCGGUAUACAGGUGGUGCAUGGUUGUCGUCAGCUCGUGUCGUGAGAUGUUGGGUUAAGUCCCGCAACGAGCGCAACCCUCGUUCUAUGUUGCCAGCACGUGAUGGUGGGAACUCAUAGGAGACUGCCGGGGUCAACUCGGAGGAAGGUGGGGAUGACGUCAAAUCAUCAUGCCCCUUAUGUCUUGGGCUUCACGCAUGCUACAAUGGCCGGUACAAAGGGCUGCGAUACCGUAAGGUGGAGCGAAUCCCAAAAAGCCGGUCUCAGUUCGGAUUGAGGUCUGCAACUCGACCUCAUGAAGUCGGAGUCGCUAGUAAUCGCAGAUCAGCAACGCUGCGGUGAAUACGUUCCCGGGCCUUGUACACACCGCCCGUCAAGUCAUGAAAGUCGGUAACACCCGAAGCCAGUGGCCUAACCGUAAGGAGGGAGCUGUCGAAGGUGGGAUCGGUGAUUAGGACUAAGUCGUAACAAGGUAGCCGUACCGGAAGGUGCGGCUGGAUCACCUCCUUUCU